rnacentral:rRNA from 1 species
UACGUAGGGUGCGAGCGUUGUCCGGAAUUACUGGGCGUAAAGAGCUCGUAGGCGGUUUGUCGCGUCUGCCGUGAAAGUCCGGGGCUCAACUCCGGAUCUGCGGUGGGUACGGGCAGACUAGAGUGAUGUAGGGGGAGACUGGAAUUCCUGGUGUAGCGGUGAAAUGCGCAGAUAUCAGGAGGAACACCGAUGGCGAAGGCAGGUCUCUGGGCAUUAACUGACGCUGAGGAGCGAAAAGCAUGGGGGAGCGAACAGG